AUGCUUACUGCAGCAGCACAUAUACUAAAAUUGGAAUGAUACAGAGAAAAUCUGUAAGGCCCCUGCAUAAGGAUGACACACAAAUUCAUUGUUCCAUAUUUUU